GUUAGAAAGGUCGCGGAAUACGGCCGAGGAUGGGACGCUCUGGAGAAAAUACAUCCCCGGAGUCGCUAUGAAUCGGAAAUGACUCGACAGCACAGAAGAAGAAGAAACCCCACCUGUGGUUACCUGCCCUCCUCCACACUCCUCCGUAACUAGAGUCAAACAGUUGGGACUUCAACACGCAGUACACUGCCUGGCACGCAAACUUCCGUUUACUGGACAGAGUGCAACAUUGACAGUUGGAGCUAAGUAAACAUCAAAGGAGAGAAGCAAUCGUCUUGGCAAGGAACAGACGGGUAGAAGGAGAAAGAACCUCCGGAAAGCGUCAGAGGAAAGGCACGUACAUCUAGUGGAUCUACAGAUUUCCCCUAAGAAGCUUCCGGCAGGCCACACGUACCUGGUCGAUUCCCCUUCCUUUGCACUGAAGGACGAUGACUUCUAGGAGUUUGGCCGCAUGACACUCCGCAUCUUCUCCUGCGUCUCCCGUCAACACCUGCCAACGAUUCCUCAAGGUCAGCUCGGGGCCGAGCGGCGCCGUGGAGAAUCCCAGUUCAACCGAGGACGCGUGCGGCGCUUAUUUGAAAUAAGGGCAGCGAAUGGAAACGGGGCUUAGCCUGGCUCACCAAGUUUGCCUUGCUAAUUCAAGGGCAACUGGGGAGAGGGGAAAUCUAUUUUCUUUUCCAGUUCCUUAUAAUCCAAUCAAAGGAGCGCAACAGGAAAAGGAAAAAAAAAAUCCACUGAUAUUUACCGUGCUUUAAGGAGCUUAGAGCACUGGUUUCAAAGUCGCAUCCUUCCCCCAAGGCAAAAAAUCACAGGUGAAAUUUUCAGUAGCAAUAGUUGACUUAUCUUAUACCCUUAAGGCUCUCCCUAAAUGAAAUCGUAUAAUACAGGAAUUUAAAUAAAUAGCAUCCGAGUUGAAGAAGGCAGUAAAGAAUUCGACUGAUCUG